AUUGAACGCUGGCGGCAGGCUUAACACAUGCAAGUCGAGCGGGGUGAUGGUGCUUGCACUAUCACUUAGCGGCGGACGGGUGAGUAAUGCUUAGGAAUCUGCCUAUUAGUGGGGGACAAUAUCUCGAAAGGGAUGCUAAUACCGCAUACGUCCUACGGGAGAAAGCAGGGGAUCACUUGUGACCUUGCGCUAAUAGAUGAGCCUAAGUCGGAUUAGCUAGUUGGUGGGGUAAAGGCCUACCAAGGCGACGAUCUGUAGCGGGUCUGAGAGGAUAAGCCACCACACUGGGACGGAGACACGGCCCAGACUCCUACGGGAGGCAGCAGUGGGGAAUGUUGGACAAUGGGGGGAACCCUGAUCCAGCCAUGCCGCGUGUGUGAAGAAGGCCUUAUGGUUGUAAAGCACUUUAAGCGAGGAGGAGGCUCUUUUGGUUAAUACCCAAGAUGAGUGGACGUUACUCGCAGAAUAAGCACCGGCUAACUCUGUGCAGCAGCCGCGGUAA
rnacentral:rRNA from 1 species